GAUGAACGCUGGCGGCGUGCCUAAUACAUGCAAGUCGAGCGAACGGACGAGAAGCUUGCUUCUCUGAUGUUAGCGGCGGACGGGUGAGUAACACGUGGAUAACCUACCUAUAAGACUGGGAUAACUUCGGGAAACCGGAGCUAAUACCGGAUGAUAUUUUGAACCGCAUGGUUCAAAAGUGAAAGACGGUCUUGCUGUCACUUAUAGAUGGAUCCGCGCUGCAUUAGCUAGUUGGUAGGUAACGGCUUACCAAGGAAACGAUGCAUAGCCGACCUGAGAGGGUGAUCGGCCACACUGGAACUGAGACACGGUCCAGACUCCUACGGGAGGCAGCAGUAGGGAAUCUUCCGCAAAGGGCGAAAGCCUGACGGAGCAACGCCGCGUGAGUGAUGAAGGUCUUCGGAUCGUAAAACUCUGUUAUUAGGGAAGAACAUAUGUGUAAGUAACUGUGCACAUCUUGACGGUACCUAAUCAGAAAGCCACGGCUAACUACGUG
rnacentral:rRNA from 1 species